UGGGGAAUAUUGGACAAUGGGCGCAAGCCUGAUCCAGCCAUGCCGCGUGAGUGAUGAAGGCCCUAGGGUUGUAAAGCUCUUUCACCGGUGAAGAUAAUGACGGUAACCGGAGAAGAAGCCCCGGCUAACUUCGUGCCAGCAGCCGCGGUAAUACGAAGGGGGCUAGCGUUGUUCGGAUUUACUGGGCGUAAAGCGCACGUAGGCGGACUAUUAAGUCAGGGGUGAAAUCCCGGGGCUCAACCCCGGAACUGCCUUUGAUACUGGUAGUCUUGAGUUCGAGAGAGGUGAGUGGAAUUCCGAGUGUAGAGGUGAAAUUCGUAGAUAUUCGGAGGAACACCAGUGGCGAAGGCGGCUCACUGGCUCGAUGCUGACGCUGAGGUGCGAAAGCGUGGGGAGCAAACAGG
rnacentral:rRNA from 1 species